UGUUCAAACUCUCAGGUUUACGAGCACUCCUUCACUGCGGACUACAUCAUUUGCAGUCUGGAAACUCCGGAAACGUGGAUUCUGAACCCUCCAGAAGUGCGAAACGCUCAUCUGCAGUAUGCAGGAUGGGGACCGCGAGGCCAGCAGCUGAUUUUUAUAUUUGAGAAUAACAUCUACUAUCGGGCCACUGUGGAGAACAGAUCCAUCCGUCUUGUUUCCACUGGGAAGGAGGGUGUGAUAUUCAACGGUCUGAGCGACUGGCUCUAUGAAGG